rnacentral:rRNA from 1 species
CCUACGGGUGGCAGCAGUGGGGAAUAUUGGGCAAUGGGCGCAAGCCUGACCCAGCAACGCCGCGUGAAGGAAGAAGGCUCUCGGGUUGUAAACUUCUUUUCUGAGGGACGAAGAAAGUGACGGUACCUCAGGAAUAAGCCACGGCUAACUACGUGCCAGCAGCCGCGGUAAUACGUCGGUGGCAGGCGUUAUCCGGAUUUAUUGGGUUUAAAGGGCGUGUAGGCGGGAAAGUAAGUCAGAUGUGAAAACUCAGGGCUCAACCCUGAGCCUGCAGUUGAAACUGGUUUUCUUGAGUGCUGGAGAGGCAGGCGGAAUUCGGGGUGUAGCGGUGAAAUGCGUAGAUAUAACGAAGAACACC